CCAAAAUAAUUGUCAGAAAGAACAGAAAUGUCGAGCGAUCGAAAGGGGCAACGCUUGCAGUUUGAACCCUCCGCACUCAGUGCUCUCGCGUCGCCAUGAUGACAGCGCUCGCUCUGUCGGAGAAAGGCCGCCGCCGCCACCACGCUCCAGCGGGGGCACUGUUCCCAAAGAACAUACUACUCAGCAGGGGUCCUCCGUAUGACCAGCAUCCCCUGGACCUGUGUCAUCUUUCAAAGCACACUGUAUCUGCAGAAGUGCUAACAUCAAUAACUCGUGCUGCCUGGCCGUGUUAGGUAGCAGGAGAGAUAGCGGAGAAGAGGAAACUAGCACUAUACUUCUGGUAAAGGUCCUUGAAGUCCUUGUGGAUGAUAUUGUGGAGAGGAGGGGAGUCAGAGAUCGCCACCUGGAUCGGUGCCAUCUCCAGGGUGAGGAAGGAGGAGAAGACAUCCUGUAACAGGACAGGGAGUGAUGCCACACAGGUGGUGCUGUUCUCACUGUCUCCAAGGAAAGGAUUCUUCCCUGGAAGGAGAAAACAGGGACCGGUCCAGCAGGGAAGAGACAUCCAUGUCCUGACACCCAGUGGAUCCAUUCUCCCAAGAGGAGAGUUCCUUGAUCCCUCCUGCCAUUAUCAUAGAGAACAAUUGGAGGAACCAUCAUUUGCAUGGGUGCACCUGUACUGAGUCACCUCCAUAGACAUCAGAUUGGCCUUCUUGAAAAUGAACCCACAAAUAGUGAUGGGCCUGGAUGGCGUCCUGAGCUGUGCACUUAGAUCCUGUGUGUAGCAGCUGGCAGGGGUAUUCGCAGGUGUCUUUAACCUCUCCUUACUCCAAUCGGAGGUUCCCACCUGCUUCAAGACGACCACAGUCAUCCGUGCCAAAGAAAAAUCAUGCAGUAUGCCUCAGUGACCUCUACCUCGAUGGCUUUGGCAUUCAUUAUGAAUUGCUUAGAGAGGUUAGUCAUGGCUCACAUCAGUUUCCCAGGCUGCUUUGAUCCUCGACAUUUUACCUACUGUCACAACAGGUCCACAGCAGAUGCCAUCUCCCUGACCCUACACUCAUCCCUGGAACAUCUCAAUAACAAGGACACCAUGUCAGAUUCCUACUUAUUGAUUAUAGCUCCACCUUCAACACAAUUCCAACCAAACUCAGACCUAGGAUUCUGCUCUCCCCUUUGCAACUGGAUCCUUGAGUUCCUGACCCACAGACCGCAAUUAGGAUAUGCGGCAAAACCUCCUCCACAAUAAACCUCAACAAUAGUGCCCUGCAAGGCUACGUACUCAAACUCCUACUUUACUUCUUGUACACAACUGCGGGGCCAAACUUUGCUUUAGCCCAUUUACAAGUUUGUUGAUGACACCACCAUAGUGGGUAGGAACUUAAUGACAAAACAAUAUAGGAAAGAGAUAGACAACAAUCUCUCUCUCAAUGUCAGCAAAAUGAAGUAGCUGGUCAUCAACUUCAGGAAACAGAGUGGAGGACACGCUGUCUGGUUGGUGGUGUGGAGGAGGUGGUCGAGAACUUUAAUUUCCCUGGAGCGAUGAUCACCAACAAUCUUUCCUGGUCCGUCCAUCCAUCUUAACACUACACUUAGGAAAGCACACCAAUGCCUCUACUUCAUUAGAAGUAGAAGCAUGUUCACAACGACUCUUACCAAUUUUUAUACAUGCACCAUUAAAAAGCAUCUUAUGCAGAUGCAUUAUAGCUUGGUAUGGCAACUGCUCUUCCCAAAGCUGCAACAAAUUACAGAGAGUUGUGGAUGCAGACAAGUCCAUCACGUGAACCAGAUGCAAUUCAUUGACUCAGUCUGUACUUCCCACUGCCUCAGGAAAGCAGCCAACAUAAUUAAAGACCCCUCCCAGCCUGGUCAUACUUUCUUCCACCCUUGUCUGUCAGGUAAAAAAUACAAAAGUUUGAAAACAUGUACCAGAUUCAAGAACAGCUUCUUCCUUGCUAUUAUCAGACGUUUAAACUGACUUCUCAUUAUUGAAUUUGACCUUUCUCUGCACCUUCUCUUUGACUGCAAAGUUGAAACAGAGGUGACAAACAAUCUGCUCAAAGCCAAUAGAGUAAACAGCUUGAGAGGCCUGAUGGCUUUUUUUUUUGAAGUUGAAACAAUAAAACCUGCUUGAAUGAGUGAGUCAAUCUCAGAACCAGGAAUUUUAGUUUUAGUAGCUAAUGUGUCUAUUAUUUUGCUGAGCAUUUCAAUACAGUUACAGUUAAACAGAUUCUUCUCAUUUUUAUUUUGUCUGUAUUUUAACAGUAGUGUAAAAAUAAAACGUUUUGCUUAAUGGUGAGUAGUUUGGCCAAUUGAAUUACAUCUGGAAUGCAAUGACUUAUGCUUGCCUUUAAAAUCAUCUUAAUAGAUUGAGGGGGGCUUUGGUCUGGUCCAUAACAAGUUUCCCAUCAUAUCACAAUGGAGCAUUUUCUUAGUCCCCA